rnacentral:rRNA from 1 species
AUUGAACGCUGGCGGCAUGCCUUACACAUGCAAGUCGAACGGCAGCACGGGUGCUUGCACCUUGUGGCGAGUGGCGCACGGGUGAGUAAUACAUCGGAACAUGUCCUGUAGUGGGGGAUAGCCCGGCGAAAGCCGGAUUAAUACCGCAUACGAUCUACGGAUGAAAGCGGGGGCCCUUCGGGCCUCGCGCUAUAGGGUUGGCCGAUGGCUGAUUAGCUAGUUGGUGGGGUAAAGGCCUACCAAGGCGACGAUCAGUAGCUGGUCUGAGAGGACGACCAGCCACACUGGGACUGAGACACGGCCCAGACUCCUACGGGAGGCAGCAGUGGGGAAUUUUGGACAAUGGGCGAAAGCCUGAUCCAGCAAUGCCGCGUGUGUGAAGAAGGCCUUCGGGUUGUAAAGCACUUUUGUCCGGAAAGAAAUCCUUGGCCCUAAUACGGUCGGGGGAUGACGGUACCGGAAGAAUAAGCACCGGCUAACUACGUG